AAGAAUAGUGGGUAACACCCACCCCCCGAUCCGUGAGGCUUCGGGGCGGGAUAGUGCCACAGAGACAAUACUAGUCCGGACUUUGUCUGGAUAAAAGGUGAAAAGUGUCCGGUUAUACCGGACUCCUCCACUGGUGACAGUUGGAGUGUGGUAAACCCUAUUUGGAGAAAGAGCAGCGUCCCGCUUCGGCGGGAUGAAAAGUUCGCUCGUUUGAUUCUGCUAGCAAUAGCAAAACCAGAGAAAUGAUCGUCACUCCGACUAUGUCGGUGAACAAAAUUCGGCUUAUCGCGCUUGAGAAGAC
rnacentral:RNase_P_RNA from 1 species